UGUUUGUUUACUUUAGACUUGGAAUGUAGCGUUUGUUUAUCUUAUCUUUGAUAAAGCGAUAAGAAGUGUUUCGCGCACAGGUAAAGAUGUACGCAGAACCAUUUCGGUUCGCGAGUCUCUAACGCAAAGUCGUGCGCGACGCGUCUUAUAAAGAACAAUAAAUCAAACAAAAAUUAACAUUUCCGUGCAUUUUCAAUAAAUUAAUACAAUUCUUUCUCCGUUAUUGAUAACGCGUUAAUACCUACGCGCGGGGGUGGUACAUGUGCAUGAAAAACCACUAUCAAGAAUUUCCACCGCGAAUUCCUGCCGGACGAAACGCUGAACGCUUAGUAUUCGCGUGUGUGUGAGUUGUGCACGAGGCGCCCGAUACCAACAUCGAUGCAGUUUGCUGGUUUUGGCGUUCCAGUGAUUGUCGUCCAGUGAUGGAAGAAAUGGAUCAGAUUUUCGGUUUUCAACGUCAUGGUGAAGUCAUCCAUUAUGCUUCUAAUGCGAAGUCAUCCAUUAUGCUUCCAAUGAUGACCAGGAUAUUCUUCAAAAUAUCAUUUUGAUUUUAUUCCAUUAUCAUCCAAUCAACAACUAUAAUUGGCAACAACAGUUGAUUAGUUACAGCACUCGUUGUGCCUGGCAGUCCGAUAAGCUGUACACACUGGUUUAACGCUUUAACGAGACCUUUCGGAUAUCUUGGACCAGCUGUGAACUGCAUGCUUCUUCCGGAAGGAUUCGAUAGAAAAUGAUAAUUUCCGGUAAAGCUAAAACAUCUUCAACGAUUUCAUUUUCUAUUAAAUUUUGACAAGCCAAGAGGUA